CUGAGACCUGAUGCCGAGCCGAUUGUGGUGAAGUGGAUGAUCCUAUGCUGUCGAGAAAAGCCUCUAGCGAGUUUCAUGGCGGCCCGUACCCUAAACCGACUCAGGUGGUCAGGUAGAGAAUACCGAGGCGUUCGGGUGAACUAUGGUUAAGGAACUCGGCAAAAUGCCCCCGUAACUUCGGGAGAAGGGGGGCCAUGUCUGGUGAUGAGUCUUGCACUCUGAGCUGGGUGUGGCCGCAGAGACCAGCGAGAAGCGACUGUUUACUAAAAACACAGGUCCGUGCGAAGCCGUAAGGCGAUGUAUACGGACUGACGCCUGCCCGGUGCUGGAACGUUAAGGGGACCGGUUAGUCACAUUUCGGUGUGGCGAAGCUGAGAACUUAAGCGCCAGUAAACGGCGGUGGUAACUAUAACCAUCCUAAGGUAGCGAAAUUCCUUGUCGGGUAAGUUCCGACCUGCACGAAUGGCGUAACGACUUCUCGACUGUCUCAACCAUAGGCCCGGUGAAAUUGCAUUACGAGUAAAGAUGCUCGUUUCGCGCAGCAGGACGGAAAGACCCCGGGACCUUUACUACAGUUUGAUAUUGGUGUUCGGUUCGGCUUGUGUAGGAUAGGUGGGAGACUGUGAAGCAUGCACGCCAGUGUGUGUGGAGUCGUCGUUGAAAUACCACUCUGGUCGUGCUGGAUGUCUAACCUGGGUCCGUGAUCCGGAUCAGGGACAGUGUCUGAUGGGUAGUUUAACUGGGGCGGUUGCCUCCUAAAGAGUAACGGAGGCGCCCAAAGGUUCCCUCAGCCUGGUUGGUAAUCAGGUGUUGAGUGUAAGUGCACAAGGGAGCUUGACUGUGAGACCGACGGGUCGAGCAGGGACGAAAGUCGGGACUAGUGAUCCGGCGGUGGCUUGUGGAAGCGCCGUCGCUCAACGGAUAAAAGGUACCCCGGGGAUAACAGGCUGAUCUUCCCCAAGAGUCCAUAUCGACGGGAUGGUUUGGCACCUCGAUGUCGGCUCGUCGCAUCCUGGGGCUGGAGUCGGUCCCAAGGGUUGGGCUGUUCGCCCAUUAAAGCGGUACGCGAGCUGGGUUUAGAACGUCGUGAGACAGUUCGGUCCCUAUCCGCUGUGCGCGUAGGAAUAUUGAGAAGGGCUGUCCCUAGUACGAGAGGACCGGGACGGACGAACCUCUGGUGUGCCAGUUGUUCUGCCAAGGGCAUGGCUGGUUGGCUACGUUCGGGAGGGAUAACCGCUGAAAGCAUCUAAGCGGGAAGCCUGCUUCGAGAUGAGUAUUCCCACCUCCUUGAGAGGGUAAGGCUCCCAGUAGACGACUGGGUUGAUAGGCCGGAUAUGGAAGCCCUGUAAGGGGUGGAGUUGACCGGUACUAAUAGGCCGAGGGCUUGUCCUC
rnacentral:rRNA from 1 species